rnacentral:rRNA from 1 species
AUUGAACGCUGGCGGCAGGCUUAACACAUGCAAGUCGAGCGGGGUGAUGGUGCUUGCACUAUCACUUAGCGGCGGACGGGUGAGUAAUGCUUAGGAAUCUGCCUAUUAGUGGGGGACAACAUCUCGAAAGGGAUGCUAAUACCGCAUACGUCCUACGGGAGAAAGCAGGGGAUCACUUGUGACCUUGCGCUAAUAGAUGAGUCUAAGUCGGAUUAGCUAGUUGGUGGGGUAAAGGCCUACCAAGGCGACGAUCUGUAGCGGGUCUGAGAGGAUGAUCCGCCACACUGGGACUGAGACACGGCCCAGACUCCUACGGGAGGCAGCAGUGGGGAAUAUUGGACAAUGGGGGGAACCCUGAUCCGGCCAUGCCGCGUGUGUGAAGAAGGCCUUAUGGUUGUAAAGCACUUUAAGCGAGGAGGAGGCUCGUUUGGUUAAUACCCAAGAUGAGUGGACGUUACUCGCAGAAUAAGCACCGGCUAACUCUGUGCCAGCAGCCGCAGUAA